UACGUAGGGGGCAAGCGUUGUCCGGAAUUAUUGGGCGUAAAGAGCUCGUAGGCGGCUCGUCGCGUCGACCGUGAAAACCCGCAGCUUAACUGCGGGCUUGCGGUUGAUACGGGCGGGCUAGAGUUCGGUAGGGGAGACUGGAAUUCCUGGUGUAGCGGUGAAAUGCGCAGAUAUCAGGAGGAACACCGGUGGCGAAGGCGGGUCUCUGGGCCGAUACUGACGCUGAGGAGCGAAAGCGUGGGGAGCGAACAGG
rnacentral:rRNA from 1 species